rnacentral:rRNA from 1 species
GACGAACGCUGGCGGCGUGCCUAAUACAUGCAAGUUGAGCGCUGAAGGUUGGUACUUGUACCAACUGGAUGAGCAGCGAACGGGUGAGUAACGCGUGGGGAAUCUGCUUUUGAGCGGGGGACAACAUUUGGAAACGAAUGCUAAUACCGCAUAAAAACUUUAAACACAAGUUUUAAGUUUGAAAGAUGCAAUUGCAUCACUCAAAGAUGAUCCCGCGUUGUAUUAGCUAGUUGGUGAGGUAAAGGCUCACCAAGGCGAUGAUACAUAGCCGACCUGAGAGGGUGAUCGGCCACAUUGGGACUGAGACACGGCCCAAACUCCUACGGGAGGCAGCAGUAGGGAAUCUUCGGCAAUGGACGAAAGUCUGACCGAGCAACGCCGCGUGAGUGAAGAAGGUUUUCGGAUCGUAAAACUCUGUUGGUAGAGAAGAACGUUGGUGAGAGUGGAAAGCUCACCAAGUGACGGUAACUACCCAGAAAGGGACGGCUAACUACGU